AUUGGAAAUGAAGGGACGAGGGAUGAUGGAUGGUUGGAUGUCGACCAACCAUGUCAGAUUGGACUUCGUUUCAGAUUGCUCCCAAUCCACCCCAAACCACAUCUCUACGCUGCAUCUCCUCUCUCACUCUCUCAAUGGAGGGAGCUCUCUUCUCAAGCCGUCCAGCUUUCCCAACACACACAUCGAAAACGCCGAGAAAACCCUCGACCAACCAUCCAAAGUUCAACCCACCACCACCUCCUCCUUCUCAUUCCGUCCCCUUGGACUCCCUCCUGCACCAUCUCCAGCAUCUCACUCAAGAGACCUCCACCACUCUCCACCCACCUCAACCAACCAAUAAAAAUCCCAACUUUCCUUCUUUGCGCCUCGCUUCGACCACAAUUCACCGCGAGAAGGCAACUCCGGCGUCGCGCCCACGGCUCGCCGGCAGCGAAAAUGGUGUUCUGUUCCUGCGGGACCCUCGCCUCGGCUUCCUUUCCGGCGCAGGCAAGUCUUUGCUUAGAUCCAUCGUCGAACAGCCUCUUCUUGAUUUGGUGUCCCUGCUGGAAUCCAAAAAAGAUGAGAUUUUUGGCGUGGAUUGGGUCAGCCUCCUGAAGGCGCUCGAGAUCUUGGGCAACUGGGAGAAGGCUCUCGCCUUGUUUGAAUGGGCUGGAUCCGGUUCCAAUGCGGAGGGAUCCAGGUUAGACGCCCCGGCGAUCGAGGUGGUGAUCAGGGCGUUGGGUAGGCAUUCGCAGCACUCGAUCGCCUCGAAGCUGUUCGACUCUAUUCCUCUGGAGGAAUACUGCCUUGAUAUCCGCGCUUACACUACCCUGCUUCAUGCCUUGUCUCGGACUGGCAAGUACCGCAAAGCGGUCGCGUUGUUUAAGCAGAUCAAAGCCAAAGGGUUAUCGCCUACCUUGGUCACCUACAAUGUGAUUCUUGAUGUAUAUGGCCGUAUGGGGCGGUCUUGGAGUAAAAUUUUGGAAAUUUUGGAUGAAAUGAAUAGCAGAAAUGUGGGUAUUGAUGAGUUCACCUGUAGCACUGUCAUAUCAGCCUGCGGAAGGGAAGGUUUGUUGGAGGAGGCUUCCAUGUUUUUUGAACAAUUGAAGCUGCAGGGCUAUGUUCCAGGCACCGUCGCAUACAAUUCACUGCUCCAGGUGUAUGGUAAAGCUGGAAAGUAUCCGGCGGCCAUGGGGGUAUUGAAGGAAAUGGAGGACAAUAACUGCCCAGCAGAUGCAGUUACCUACAAUGAGCUCGUGGCGACCUAUGCUAGAGCUGGCUUUUAUGAAGAAGGGGCAGCAGUAUUAGACACAAUGGCUAGUAAAGGAAUCAUGCCUAAUUCUGUUACCUACACCACUGUGAUUAGCGGAUAUGGAAAGGCGGGAAAAGAGGAUGAAGCUUUGGCUUUGUUUGAUCGGAUGAAGAAGUUGGGUUGUGUUCCUAAUACUUGUACAUACAAUACGAUUCUUGGAAUGCUUGGAAAGAAAUCAAGGACAGGGGAGAUGUUGGACAUACUCUCCGACAUGAAGUCUAAUGGUUGUGUCCCAAAUAGGGUCACAUGGAACACAAUGUUGGCUAUGUGCGGGAAGAGGGGAAUGGAGAAUUAUGUCAGCCAAGUAUUUGAUGAGAUGAAGAAAUCAGGAGUUGAGCCGGACAGGGAUACCUUCAACACCUUGAUUGCUGCAUAUGGCCGGUGUGGGUCUAGCACCCAAGCUUUGCAGAUGUAUGAUGAGAUGGUCAAGGCAGGUUUUAGUCCUUGUACCACUACAUACAAUGCACUCUUGAAUGCAAUAGCUAGGAAAGGUGAUUGGAUAGCUGCGGAGUCUGUCAUAUUAGAUAUGAAGAAGAAGGGCUUCAAGCCUAAUGAACUUUCAUACUCUUUGUUGCUUCAAACUUAUGCUAAAGGAAGGCAUAUAAAAGGGAUACAGGCAAUUGAAGAAGAAGUUUAUGAUGAUAAAAUAUUUCCCAGCUGGGUGAUUUUAAGAACACUUAUUAUUGUCAACUUCAAGUGUAGAAUGCUAAAUGGCACAGAGAAGGCUUUUGAGGAGCUGAAGAGGAAUGGUUACAAGCCUGACUUGGUAAUCCUUAAUUCUAUGCUUUCAAUUUAUGCAAAGAAUGGGAUGUACGAUCGUGCUCGUGAGAUGUUUGACUUGAUUCAUCAGUUUGGAUUGCGACCUGAUCUCAUAACUCAUAAUAAUAUUAUGAACAUGUAUGCAAGAGGUGGAGAGUGUUGGGAAGCAGAAGACAUACUCAAGCAACUUGAAAAGUCAGGACUAAAGCCUGAUGUAGUGUCCUACAACACUGUAAUUAAUGGAUUUUGCAAGCAAGGUCUCAUGACUGAGGCCCUAAGGAUUCUAUCAGACAUGAUGGCUAAAGGAGUUACCCCUUGCAUGGUCACUUACAACACCUUCAUUUCUGGUUAUGUGAGCAAGGACAUGUUCAAAGAAGCUGAUGAUGUUAUUAGCUACAUGAUACAGCAUAACUGCAGGCCUGAUGAACUAACCUACAGGAUAAUUGUUGAUGGUUACUGUAAAGCCAAGAGAUAUGAGGAGGCUAUGGAGUUUGUGUCUGGGAUCUUAAAUAUGGAUUCAUCUUUUUCUGAGCAAUCAGUGAAUAAGCUAACUCUCCGGGUAGAAGAGAAUAAGUCUCGGCAUUGAUCCGUGCUCCACCAUUGCUGUUUGCAUAUUCUGGCUUGGCGGCACCAUGAGUAUAGCUCUAGGCGAGGAAGGAAGCAAUAUAUUGGUAGCUGACUUUUCUAUCUACUCUUCCAUCUACCUACUGUUUUCCAUUUCUAAACAACAACCACCCCCUCGGAGCAGCUAGCUAUUUUUUCCAUCAUGUUCCCAAGGUGCUUGGAUUUGAGAGGAAAGACCAAACAGGAAAUGGGUGUUGCAUAUCUAAAGCUAGUAUAAGACAUUAUUUUAUUUCAUUGCCCCAUUAAUUCCAUCUACUGGGGCCUUGCACCACAAACACUGAAUGCCAAGGCAACUUUUCUCAAGGUAUUCUUCUCACUAAGUGAACAGGUCUAAGCCACCAGAGCUUGCUUUCUCUUCUGCAAAGCUUUUACUUCUAACACUACUAAUUCAUGUGAAGACUUUUAAUUUGCAUAGUCUCAGUCCUUCCGAAGAUGUGGAUAUGGAUAGAACUUGAAUAAGUCUCUUGGCGGUGGUUGGCUCCAUUAAUAACAUAUCAUCAUCUUCUGUUAUAAACAUAACAUAUGGAUUUUAUGGAUCAAGUUCACAGCUAAAGCAUAUGAGCUACUUUCAGUAUUAGCUUUCCAGUUUUUUUUUUUUGGUCAUAAAAUGCACUUCCAAUCUUGUGUUUAUGUGUUCCUCUCCUGAAUUGUAAUUUUUGGUGAUGGUGGUUUAUGAUUUUGGUAUUGGAGUGUCAUCAUCCCCGCAUCUUGUUCUUUUGUAGCAUCUGUACUUGCCAGGAAUGGUUUCAGAGCAUCAUGGAUUUUGGAACAGUUGCAUACUGGCAGGCUUUUUCCACAACAUUUAAGACUCUGCUCAUGGCUUGUCAGCAACAGCUAACUACAUUACUAGCACGCUUCUUAUUUGGCUGUCAACCUCAAGUUGAUGUGCCAAUGAGCACAAAGGACUCAAUAGCAUGCAGUGACUGAUAUCACAGUUCUUUUUGCCUUUGGGCUACAAGAUUUUUCUGCACCAUAUUAACAAGGACCUUUGAUGCUUGACAUGUGCUGUCCCCAUUCACCAGAAUGCAAUGGAUUUACAUGAAUCACUAUCUGAUAUCAUUUUGAUGCAUAACAUAAUGUUCAGCUGAUUGAGGUACACAGUAUCACCAUAGAGUUUUUUUUAUGUUGUUGAUGUUAAGUUGAGUACAUAAAAAAUAUUUCAAAGAUGCUGUCUAGAAGUAUUGCUACCAGAUCAGCUGAUAAAGAUAGAUACGUGGGGCAUAAAUCAUCCAUGUUGACAACUUGUUCUCACAGUUUCAAAUGCAUGAGAAAGAAAGCAGCCUUCUCCUUCAUUUGUUUGGCAAGCAAUGAAGCCAAUUAGUACACCAGCAGAGGAGAUGCACCCCCAGUGGGUGAAAAGAGGUAAAUGUGUUUGGAUUAGAUGAUUUGGCCAAGCUUCUUUUUCUCUUUUUCUCCCACCCACUUUUCAUUUAUUGUGUCUGGUGCUGCUGGUCUUUUGUGAGGUCAAAAGGUGGUUUUAGGAGAAGAGUUUCAUUGAGGUUCACAGGUUGGUAUUCUGAUUCAGCUUGUACUGCCAUAGCAUGCACCACUCAUUUUGGUUGAGUGGAGUGUCUAUGUCAUCUAGUGCUUCUGAUAUUAUUAAGAUGCGUACUCUUUGGUAUCUGACAAAUCAUGAAGAUAUCUUCUUUUAGGUUCAACGUCUCAUAUUCUGCACUUUAUGUUUGUGCAAUGAAUAAAUUACUCAGCCCAUU